AAAAAAAAAAAGAAGAAGACUUCAACCAACCUUGGCAAAGCCAGCGAAAUACUUGGGAGGACUUUACGUCGAGUACCAGGCCCCAAAUUCCUUAAAAAUCCUCCACUUCCUGGUUUCAACCGGGGCGAACAACUUAACCGGAGCUGGCGGUCUCCUUUUCCACUGGCGGGCUUGGCUGCUCUCCUGUCUUUGGUUCCUGUCCAGCAAGAGCUGCUUUGUUCUGCCUCACUAUCUCCGCACGCCUCUCCUUUUGUAACAAGCAAUUAUUAUUUUCAUAUAAAUAAACUUAUGUUUUGUUCUUUUAUCACACACUCAAGCAAUCAACUGUUACGACUAAUCAUUACUGCAGCUAUAGCAACACAUGACACGACUAGUUAAGCAUCACGAUACUAUUUUUUAUGUUAUACUAAAAUUUGUUGAGGUUAAAACUUUGUGCAAUAUCUAAAACAGAGCACAUGCUUCGAUGCAAAAUUAAAUGAUAACGAAUAAAAUUGAAAUAAAUUAUCCGCAAAUAAAUUUUAUAAAGUAUCAUGUAGAUUGAUAGAAAAUAAAUUCAUAGGAUAAGUCUAGAAAACAGGAUAACGUCGGGUCGAUGAAGAACAAAAAAAUUUUCACAGAACUUUGGGAGAAUUUAAAAGUGUAAUAUCUUAUAUCGUGGCAAAUUAAACACUCAGAAAGACAACAGCGUUGGUAUUGUCUCGGAGUAAGAAGAAAAAAUGAAAUGGAAUAGGUAUUCAAAAUCAAUGAUUGAAUAAGAAAUGAAAAAUAAUAAGCGAAACAGGUUGACGAUGACAAAAGUAUUUUCAAGUGGAAUUACACGUUGGCGAAUAGCCUGAACACGACGUUGAAUCUCUUGCUGUCGGUUGAUCUCCGCAGCAGUCAGCCUCAUUGCGAGCUCUCGCUCUUUAGCCUCGAGUGCUUUCUGCGCAAAGACCUCGGCUACCUGACGCACUUCCGCUAUCUUCACUGUGUUCUAGACCACCAUUGAAUGAAACCCCUUUUUUACUUAAUUUUCAUAUUCACUCGUUCAUCAUACCCUGUUCGUCCUUAAGUAUCUCUUUCUCUCUCUUUUAUUUGUUCAUUUCUUUUGCCUUAGCUCUCACUCUAUUCAAGCACCGCGGA
rnacentral:misc_RNA from 1 species